UACGGAGGAUCCAAGCGUUAUCCGGAUUUAUUGGGUUUAAAGGGUGCGUAGGCGGCCUAUUAAGUCAGGGGUGAAAGACGGUAGCUUAACUAUCGCAGUGCCCUUGAUACUGAUGGGCUUGAAUGUACUUGAGGUAGGCGGAAUGUGACAAGUAGCGGUGAAAUGCUUAGAGAUGACAUAGAACACCUAUUGCGAAGGCAGCUUACUACGCAGAUAUUGACGCUCAUGCACGAAAGCGUGGGGAUCAAACAGG
rnacentral:rRNA from 1 species